rnacentral:rRNA from 1 species
AGGACGAACGCUGGCGGCGUGCUUAACACAUGCAAGUCGAGCGGAAAGGCCUCUUUGGGGGUACUCGAGCGGCGAACGGGUGAGUAACACGUGAGUAACCUGCCCUGGACUUUGGGAUAACCCUCGGAAACGGGGCUAAUACCGGAUACGACAAUUCACCGCAUGGUGUGGUUGUGGAAAGUUUUUCGGUCUGGGAUGGGCUCGCGGCCUAUCAGCUUGUUGGUGGGGUGAUGGCCUACCAAGGCGACGACGGGUA